rnacentral:rRNA from 1 species
GCUGUCACUUAUGGAUGGACCCGCGUCGCAUUAGCUAGUUGGUGAGGUAACGGCUCACCAAGGCAACGAUGCGUAGCCGACCUGAGAGGGUGAUCGGCCACACUGGGACUGAGACACGGCCCAGACUCCUACGGGAGGCAGCAGUAGGGAAUCUUCCGC